AGAGUUUGAUCCUGGCUCAGGAUGAAUGCUGGCGGCAUGCCUAAUACAUGCAAGUCGAGCGGUAACAUGGCUUCACCGUUCUCUUGACACACUUGGCUUUUAUGCGAGUGGAAAGAUUCGAGGGAACUGUGAAGCUGAUGACGAGCGGCGGACGGCUGAGUAACGCGUGAGAACAUACCCCAAAGUGAGGGAUAACUAGUCGAAAGAUUAGCUAAUACCGCAUGUGAUCUUUGGAUUAAAGCAUUUAUGCGCUUUGGGAAUGGCUUGCGUACGAUUAGAUAGUUGGUGAGGUAAAGGCUCACCAAGUCGACGAUCGUUAGAUGGUUUGAGAGGAUGAUCAUCCAGACUGGGACUGAGACACGGCCCAGACUCCUACGGGAGGCAGCAGUAGGGAAUCUUUCACAAUGGGCGAAAGCCUGAUGGAGCAAUGCCGCGUGCAGGACGAAGGCCUUCGGGUUGUAAACUGCUUUUAUAAGCGAGAAAUAUGAUGGUAACUUAUGAAUAAGGAUCGGCUAACUACGUGCCAGCAGCCGCGGUCAUACGUAGGAUCCGAGCGUUAUCCGGAGUGACUGGGCGUAAAGAGUUGCGUAGGCGGUUUGUUAAGUGAAUAGUGAAAUCUGGUGGCUCAACCAUACAGGCUAUUAUUCAAACUGGCAAACUCGAGAGUGGUAGAGGUCACUGGAAUUUCUUGUGUAGGAGUGAAAUCCGUAGAUAUAAGAAGGAACACCGAUGGCGUAGGCAGGUGACUGGACCAUUUCUGACGCUAAGGCACGAAAGCGUGGGGAGCGAACCGGAUUAGAUACCCGGGUAGUCCACGCCGUAAACGAUGGAUACUGGCUGUUGGAGGUAUCGACCCCUUCAGUAGCGAAGCUAACGCGUUAAGUAUCCCGCCUGUGGAGUACGGCCGCAAGGCUAAAACAUAAAGGAAUUGACGGGGAC
rnacentral:rRNA from 1 species